GCCUCUUUAGCUCAGUUGGCCAGAGUAUGUGAUUUGUAAUCUCGGGGUCGUUGGUUCGAAUCCGACAAGAGGCUC
rnacentral:tRNA from 1 species